CGGGAAACCGAAGCUAAUACCGGAUAGGAUCUUCUCCUUCAUGGGAGAUGAUUGAAAGAUGGUUUCGGCUAUCACUUACAGAUGGGCCCGCGGUGCAUUAGCUAGUUGGUGAGGUAACGGCUCACCAAGGCAACGAUGCAUAGCCGACCUGAGAGGGUGAUCGGCCACACUGGGACUGAGACACGGCCCAGACUCCUACGGGAGGCAGCAGUAGGGAAUCUUCCGCAAUGGACGAAAGUCUGACGGAGCAACGCCGCGUGAGUGAUGAAGGCUUUCGGGUCGUAAAACUCUGUUGUUAGGGAAGAACAAGUACGAGAGUAACUGCUCGUACCUUGACGGUACCUAACCAGAAAGCCACGGCUAACUACGUGCCAGCAGCCGGG
rnacentral:rRNA from 2 species